GGAGAGAUACGAAGAGGGCUAACGCGGCGGACUGUAAAUCCGCUCCUUCGGGUUCGGGGGUAUCGAAUCCCUCUCUCUCCA
rnacentral:tRNA from 1 species